rnacentral:rRNA from 1 species
GAUGAGCCCACAUCCUAUCACGCUUGUUGGUGAGGUAACGGCUCACCAAGGCGACGACGGGUAGCCGGCCUGAGAGGGUGUCCGGCCACACUGGAACUGAGACACGGUCCAGACUCCUACGGGAGGCAGCAGUGGGGAAUUUUUCGCAAUGGGCGCAAGCCUGACGAAGCAACGCCGCGUGGAGGAUGAAGGCCCUCGCGGUCGUAAACUCCUGUCUAGCGGGACGAAAGUUUGCUGGGUGAACAAUCCAGCAGAUUGACUGUACCGCUGGAGGAAGCUCCGGCCAACUCCGUGCCAGCAGCCGCGGUAAUACGGAGGGAGCAAGCGUUACUCGGAAUUAUUGGGCGUAAAGGGCGCGUAGGCGUUCCUGCAAGUCCAUUGUGAAAGCCCCGGGCUUAACCCGGGAAGUGCAGUGGAUACUGCAGGAAUUGAGUUCCGGAGAGGAAGAUGGAAUUCCCGGUGUAGCGGUGAAAUGCGUAGAUAUCGGGAGG